rfam:Schistosoma haematobium scaffold315_5, whole genome shotgun sequence.
AUUCAGCUGAUGAGUUCCAAAUGGGACGAAACGGGCUUCCUGGAC